GCGGGGUGAGCCCGUGCCGCUCUGCCGUUAAAAGCAGCACACCUUAAUGUACGCGCGCCUCUCCUGGCAACCGCACGCCCGUUAACCGCGACUGGAAGUGCAGCUAUUCAUAGGCAGUGAUGAUCAGUGGGAUCUGGUCCUGUGGGAGCCAUACCACCCAGAACAGCAGCAGAUCAGCCAGUCAGGACCUUUCUCACCUUCUGCAGUAACCCCAGGACGAUGACAGGAUGUACCGGAGCCACAGAGCUGGAACACAGUGUGUUCUGGAUGGAGUCCUACUAACAGGAGGGGAGGGAUACUUUAGGAGCCCCACUCUAGCAAAAAUCAAUGAGUCAAACAGCCGAGAGCAUGUACCGGGAGAGUCAAAUGUUCUCAGAGCCCUGCACUCAAGGAACCAGAGAGUAAACCAAUGCAUUUCUGCAACACUCACAAUGGAAAUGCCGUCCUGUUACUGGGGGAGGCUGGGAAUGAGGCUCGGAGGGGCCAUUCAGCUCUGGUCUCCUUCAGUUGGAUCUAAUCAUUGGUCACUUGGCAGGAGCCUUCUUGAGCCGCCUACUGUUAUUGGUCUCCUGGCUGAGGCAGUCCAAGCCAAUCACUCAAAACUCUCUGGCACAGCUUUACGGCUAUACAACACUCUGGACACACAUACAAGCACACACACAUAAACACAGACACAAACGCAAGAAAAUGACACCAUGAAAUACCAUUCACACACCCUUCAGAGUCAAUAAACAUCCUGUUUAUGUGCACUCACACAUGCAAGCAUGCAUGCACGGCACCACGCAUACACAUGUGCAAAUGGCAGCAUGCAAUUGCAUUUACGCACACUAUGUACUCUAUAAGCAUCUGACUACACACACACACACACACACACACACACACACCCCGAAUAAAAACAAGUAGCAGUCAUCUGGGGAGUGCUGUUGUAAAAAGAUUUUAUGGGGCCAGAAAGUGAAACAUUAUCUGCCUGACCUGUCUGUGAUGAUCAGCUCAUCUCUCAUGACUGAUGUUCAUCCUGCAGUGGCCUUCUUCCAAUGUCUUUCUCUCUCCCUCUUUCUUUCUUCCUUCUCUUCCUUCCUUUCUGUCUCCCUUUUCUCCCUAGUCUGUGUUGAAGCCUUUGCUAUGUAUUCUCCCCAAUCUCCUUCCUAAUCUCAAUUUCCUGCUCUCCAUCCCUGCUAUUACUGUUACUGUGUACUGUGACACAUAAGGGCACGUGUGUGUGGGACUGUGAUUCCCUGAGGUGGAGACCUGCAGGGACGACGCUGCGAGAGGCUUUGUUCUAUAUAGCAUCACAGACAUACAUACAUCAUGACUUUCCUGCAUAUGCCCACACGCAUACACCUACACACACACACAGCUCUGACAAAUAUGAACCACAUACCCAAUAUACAUUCUGCAUGCAUACACAUAAAAACACAAGGAAACACUUUCAUUCAAGUCACGGUCCAUGCAUCACACACACACACACACACACACACAUUCACUGCCUGCUUCCGUUGUGUUGCUUGGUACUGUAGCUGCAGGCAAGUCUGUCCUUGAGACUCAGAGCAGGCUCAGACUAGCCAAGCAAAUAAUUACCUCUCCACAUUGACAUGCUGGCUCCUCCCAACAUAUGAAGGAGAAGGAGGGAGCGUGUGUGAGUUUGUGGUUUGCAAUUAAAGUGAUCUGGAAGCACAAUAUUCAAUGUUAUUGAACGGAAAAUAAAUUUUACACAAAGGCAAGAAGGCUUGCGGGGUGGAAGGAGACCUAUGUGGGUUUAAGAGUGUGUUUACUUGUAUCUAUCUAUCUUUGUGAGGAUCAAUGUGAGUUGUAGACCCAGAGAGUGAGGACGUUUUGGCACUUCGUCACUUUAGGCUGGACCUUCAAAGGGCCAUUUGGUUAAGAUCUGGAUUUAAUGGUAAGAGUUUAAGGUAAGAAUUAGGUUUAAGUUCAGUUUAAGAUAAGGGUUAAAAUAAGGCACUUAGGUGUGAUGUUUAAAAAACUGCUCCUCUCAUUUAGCAUUGUAAAACACUGUU